rnacentral:siRNA from 1 species
GGGUGACCGUACACCAGCUGUGAC